AAAAGCUCUAAUCAGCAGAACUCGCUGACAUGGAUUUUAAAAAUGGUUGUGCGCAUUGUGGCUGCUUUGGAAGAGGUCGUGUAGUUUUGUCUGAGGCAUCCUUGGUUCAGGAGGAAGAGAAGACACAGAGAGGAAAGGUGUCCAACAACAAGUAAAAUUAUUUUUCUGGAAUCUGUGAUUAGUCUCUGGCUGGUUGAUGCCGCCCAAUUGUGAUCAGCUUCAAGGGCAGUACAGAAGAGCAGUGAAUGGACAGACGUUUUCACCAGAAUAUCUGGGUUCAGAUCUUGGCUCUACCACACAGACUACCUCCAUGAUUCUAGAAAGUUACUUAAUCUCUCUAUGCCUUGGUUUUCUUUUCUAAAAAAUGGAAAAUAAUAAUAAUAAUAAUACCAGCCUUUUAAGGGUUCAGGUAAA